GGAAAGAUCCUGUUGGGCUCUGAUGCCAUCUGGGUGAUUGUGCAGAAAAGGAAAGAGCUGCCUUGCUUGUCAGAGGCAGCUUCUUAACCCUCCGACCAUCACGGAAGUUCCAAGCUGAGUCCUGAAGGUCAAGCAGGAGCUGGCGGGUGAAGAAUAUAUGCAGAUGACACCACCCUUAUGGCAGAAAGCAAAGAAGAACCAAAGAGCCUCUUGAUGAAGGUGAAAGAGAAGGGCUUAAAACUCAACAUUCAGAAAAUGAGGAUCUUGGCAUCCGGUCCCAUCACUUCAUUGCAAAUAGAUGGGGAAACAAUGUAAACAGUAACAGACUUUAUUUUCUUGGGCUCCAAAAUCACUGCAGAUGGUGAGUGCAGCCAUGAAAUUAAAAGACACUUGCUCCUUGGAAGGAAAGUUAUGACCAACCUAGACAGUGUAUUAAAAAACAGAGAUAUUGCUUUGCCUACAAAGGUCCUUAUAGUCUAAGCUAUGGUUUUUCUAGUAGUCAUGUAUGGAUGUGAGCAUUGGAUCAAAAAGAAGGCUGAGUGCCGAAGAAUUGAUGCCUUCAAGCUGUGGUGCUGGAGAAAACUCUUGAGAGUCCCUUGCACAGCUAAGAAAUCAAACCAGUCAAUCCUAAAGGAAAUCAACCCUGAAUACUCAUAAGAAGGACUGAUGCCAAAGCUGAAGCUCUAAUACUUUGCCCACCUGAUGCCAAGAGCCAACUCACUGGAAAAGAUCCCUGAUGCUGGGAAAGGUUGAGGCAGGAGGAGAAGGGGAUGACAGAGGAUGAGAUGGUUGGAUGGCAUCACCGAUUCAAUGGACAUGAGUUUGAGUAAACUCUGGGAGUUGGUGAUGGACAGGGAGGCCUGGCGUGCUGCAGUCCAUGGGGUCGCAAAGAGUCGGACACGACUGAGUGACUAAGCACAGCACAGCAUAGUUGAUUCACAAUGUUCUGUUGGUUUCAGCUGUAGAGCAAAGUGAUUCAGUUAUAUAUAUAUCUCCAUUCUUUUUCACACUUUCCUUGAGGAGACGUAUCCCAGAAAUCACAUGCAUACAACUUAGUAUUAAAUCAUUUGUAACCAGGCACUCUAAACCUAUACAUAGAAAUAAUGCAUAUAUGUAUGUUUCUAUAAUUUAUUUCUACUAACUAGAUAUUGAGAGUCCUAUU